UACGAAGGGGGCUAGCGUUGUUCGGAUUUACUGGGCGUAAAGGGCGCGUAGGCGGGCUGAUCAGUCAGGGGUGAAAUCCCAAGGCUCAACCUUGGAACUGCCUUUGAUACUGUCGGUCUUGAGUUCGAGAGAGGUAAGUGGAACUGCGAGUGUAGAGGUGAAAUUCGUAGAUAUUCGCAAGAACACCAGUGGCGAAGGCGGCUUACUGGCUCGAAACUGACGCUGAGGCGCGAAAGCGUGGGGAGCAAACAGGG
rnacentral:rRNA from 1 species